rnacentral:rRNA from 1 species
UACGUAGGUGGCAAGCGUUGUCCGGAUUUACUGGGCGUAAAGAGCGCGCAGGCGGUCGUUCAAGUCGCGUGUGAAAGCCCCCGGCUCAACUGGGGAGGGUCACGCGAUACUGAUCGACUCGAAGGCAGGAGAGGGAUGUGGAAUUCCAGGUGUAGCGGUGAAAUGCGUAGAUAUCUGGAGGAACACCGGUGGCGAAGGCGGCAUCCUGGACCGAUAUUGACGCUGAUGCGCGAAAGCCAGGGGAGCAAACGGG